AUAAAUUGAGAUUGAAUUUAAAAAUAAAAUUAAUGUGCGGCAUCAAAUCAAAAAGUCAUUAAGUCAAACUUCAGGCCAACAUGGCGUAUGGCAAACGUCGCUUGUUCAGCGCAUUGAUUCAAGCUUAAGGCCAUUUAGGCGUGUUGGCCAACGCCGCAAGCUGCAGGUGCUUGUCUGCCUAUGAAAACGUAAGACAGACAGACAGACAGACAGACAGAGAGAGAGACAAUUUAAGCUGUGGCAUUAUUUGAGUGGUGGGCUGAGGCACCACCAACAACGCCAACAGAAUGUGGAGCAAAUGCAGAUGGCCUCGCCUAAGCUGCUGCCUGUUAAUGCUGCUAAUUGUUGGCCAAAAUGUUUGUGCUGACGUCAGCGUCAUUACAAUGAACAGCAGCGCUACAGCAGCAGCAGCAGUAGAAAGGCCGCUGAUCAAAGGCGUGCAAGUGGGCGUGGUCGUCAACAGCAGCCAAGCAUUCGAUAUAGCGCGCUAUGAUCAUCAACGAAAUGCUGGCGAGCGCUUAAGCUUGGCGCGACUGCCGCGCGAGGCGGAGGCGGAGGAUGAAGUGGACCGCUGUCGUCUAUUCGUCGAGGGCGAUCCCAACAAGAACGAACUCUACAGUCCCGAGUAUCCCAAUCUCUAUCCCAAGAAUAUCAACUGCACACGCGUCAUAACUGCGCCAAAGGGUCAAAUCAUACGCCUGGACUUUCGCAACUCGUUCAACAUUGAAGCCAAGGAGGAGUGCAAAUUUGAUUUUCUCGAAAUACGCGAUGGGCAAUACGGAUUCUCGAACCAGAUUGGCAAAUAUUGCGGCACGGAUUUCCCGCCGGAAAUCACCUCAAAGGAGCGCUAUCUGUGGCUGCAUUUCCACUCGGACGACACCAUCGAGUACACCGGCUUCUCGGCCGUCUAUGAGUUCCUCGACCGCAAUCGCGAGGCGCCCAGCACGGACCUCAAUUGCACCAUUGAGCGCGAUGGCUACGAGGGCAUCAUCAACUCCACCGAUGUGCCCGCCGAUAUACGCGAGCAGGUCAAGCGCGACAAGAUUGCGCUCGACUGCAUUUGGCGCAUUCAAGUCAAGGACAAUUGGAAGAUAUUUCUGAAAUUCCUGGACUUUCAUCUGGACAAACCAAAUGAUUGUGAAACAAACUUUCUGGAUAUAUUUCCAGAGCAAACAGUCAUCCCGUUGAGAAUGAAAAACUUUUGCGGCUCCGCAGGCGAGAGCAUCACCUCGGAAUCGAAUGUUUUGCACAUGCGAUUCUAUGCGGAGCAGAGUGCGAUUAAUUCGUCAUUCGCCGUGCUCUACACGGCAUUCCGGGAACGCGAAUCGGGAACCUGCACUGAAGACGAAUACGAUUGCCUGGACGCGACUUGCAUAUCAAAUGAAUUACGCUGUAAUUCGCUAGACAAUUGUAAAUUUCGCUGGGACGAAGAAAAGUGUCAGACAACGUCAAGCGGACAAUCGGAUCAUAUGGUUAUUAUAAUCGUUGUAUUUGGACUUAUACUGGGCGGCAUGGUCAUAACUUUUAUAGUCAACUGCAUACGCAAGAUAAUACGGGAUCAGAAGAUAAUACGCGAUCACAUACGCGAAUCGAAGGAGAGCAAGCUGGACGAGAUUGACCGCCACUCAAAGACACGCUCACGCGACAACAUAUCAAGGCAAAAGCAUUCGCAGACCUCGCUGCAGAUACUUGAUGAUGUUUCCAAUGGUUACUAUCGCGAGGCUGUGCCCAUAUCGACGCAAUCGAGCAAGGCGGACUUCAAGGAGAAAGAGCAUAGCAUACUGCGACGUCAUGGCGACAUGACACAGGCGAGCAUCUGUGGCAUUAACGUGGACGAUGGCGAGUCCUCCUCAACCACAACAGCGACGCAUGAGCUGAUAACAAAGGCGGCGAUAGCGACCGCACCGGUUAAUGCCUGUGAUAUGGGCUGUCAGACUAGGGAGUCGCUGUUUGCCAACAGCCCCAGCGCGGUGGCAACGCUAAUGAGACAAAAGUCUAGCUCCUCAUCGUUGGGCGCGGGCAGCGCUGUGAUGCCGCCGCCGCCGCCACGUUUCUUCUCCACCUUUGGCUAUGGCGCGCCCAAUGCGGUAACCGGACUGCCGGCAACAACACCGCCGCCACCAACAGCUGCACAGCUGCUCAAUACGCUGACCAGGCGCAGCCAAAUGCACAUGCAACAUGCCCCAUCGCAUCAUAACGAUUCGCUUGAGCUGGAGGAGCGCCACAGCGGCGUUGGCGGUGCUGGCUCAGCUGCUCAGCGUUCGCACUAUGGCCUGAUAGUAGCCUCAACAGCCAGACCACAAGAGAUCUGCCAUCAUCAUCAUCAGCAUCAGCAACAUCAGCAGCAGCAGCAGCAGCUACAACAGCAGCAACGUGUGCAUCAUCCGCACAUACACGCGCAGCAGCAGCAGCAGAUGCUGCCGAAGGGGCAUGGUCAGCUGCAGACGCAGACUGUGUUGCCAGUAAAGAGUGGCGGCAGUUCAGCUGCUGCUGCUGCUGUUGCUGGCGGAGUUGCUGCUGCUGUUGGCGCGGGCAAGCAGCAACAGAAGAAUGAAGAGUCCAAAGUGUUUAUCGACAUACGGAAUUCAGCGCCAGACGUGAUUAUCAUGACGUCACAUUGAUAUUUAACUAUGGCAUGCCAAUCGACAACAACAACAAUAAUGCACGACAGCAACCAGCAGCAGCAGCAGCAGCAGCAGCAAAAGAAAAUGAACAACAGCGACAGCGACUGGACAAUUGCUGGCAUAUUAACCACAAGCAAUGCAACAACGGCACCAACGACACAACACGCAGACGAAUACAAACAUCCAGAGCAGCAGCAACACCAACAACAACGACAGCAGCAACAUGGGCACACAACAUGGCAACGGCGUGGUGCAAUCAAACGGAAUUGCUGCAGUCAGCGCGCUGCAUUUUUAUUUGCAUUGGCUUAAAGCGCUUAAAGUAAAAGUUGAUUUUGCUGAUGACAUAAAAGCACACAAAAAAAAUUUUUAUAUGAUGUCGAGCAGCAUAAAAGGCAAUAAUUAAAUUUAAUUGAUGGCGCUUUUUACACCUUGCUCAUUAUUUUUUUAUUUUGUUAUUUACCAACACUAAGCAAUGUCUGAGCGCUUGUGUGCGUGCAUUAAGUUAAAAAAAAAAUUGAUAUAUAUUUGAUUUUUUUUCAACUGUAUAUAAGAUUUCAAACUACGAGCUAACAUUUAAAGCACACACAUGCAUAUGUAUGUGUGUAUAUUGUAAAUUCAAUUUAGAAAAACAAA